CAAAAAUUGUGCGUCACGUACAUACAGACAUACGGAGAUGAAUGCAAUAUAGGUAUAUGUGUUACAGUAAGAACCCGAAAUCCGUCCAAAUUAGUUUUGACUAGUCAAAACUAGUUGUCACAAACCCCAUUCGCCAAAACUAGGUUUUACUGGUGAAUUCUAGAAUUAACUAGGACCCUCACCGCCGUAACUAGUUCUAACUAUUUUUUUUCCAGUUAAAACUAGGUUUGACUGAAAUUUAUUGGUGAAAACUAGAAUUACUUGGUGAAAAGUGGUUUUGUAGGAUUAAUUUCUUUCGUUAGUUAAAACUAGUAUUAACUAGUGAAAAGUAGAAGUAAGUUGAAUUCGGAUAAUAAUAGACCAUUUAUUAUUCUGUCCAAGUUUUGUGCUGUUAAAUUCACUGUGUAAAAUUGGUUUCGUAACCAGGCCCUUUUUUCCAAGUUUUUUCUUCUUUUGGCAUAUUUCGUACAGUGCUAAAAAAAUAUGGAUCAUGUUGGUCGUGACAUUUGCAAACUUGCGAGACGUUUCAAGCCGCAAUCGGUCUCUUCCACCAUGCCCCACUGCGAUGUGCGCCGAUUCAAUAACAUCGAAAAUUUCUUCCAUUGCUAAGUUCCGGGCCGUCGAUUUUGAGCGGCGGUCUUAAAUUUGUGCGGGGUAAGAUAAAACAAAGGACAUAUACGGAUGCCCAGUGCGUGGAAUAUUGUAAGGAACAGAAUGGAUUCUUCUUCAAUACCAACAAGAAUGAAUACGAACUCGUCAGCACCUUCGGCAGAGCCUUCGCCUACGGAGUAACAUGUUCUUGCAACGUAUCGAACAAUUUCAAACAAUUUAUCAUAAACGAAUUCAACGACGAAACGGUUGCGGAGAAUUUCGUGAGUUGGUGGCGUCGGGGUUUCCGCGGAAAAAACGCGAAGAGCAGGUUGAACGAAUUGGCCAAGAAACAGGGACUCACAGCCAUCGAGUUUCUUACGUCCGGGGAGUUAGGAACGUCCAAGUUGAGAAGGCAAAGGUCGAACGAAAGGAAAGCCGGACUUUCGAAACAAGCGUCGCUAACGAGACGUUUAGAUGUUCUCACGACUGAGCUCGACGAGUCGCGCGCAGAGGUCUCACGGCUCACGGAUCAGCUGAUUCAAAAAAACGAAGAGAUCGCGAGAAUCUACGCGGAAGGAACAGACAAAAUUGUGGAGAUCGACAAACUGAAGGGCGAAAUGCAGAACAAAAAGGACUUAUUUGAGAAGAAUGAACAAGCUAUGGCUAAAUUGCAGGAGCAAUUUGAUAACAUCAAUGGACAAUACAAACAGAAACUCCAGGAAUAUGAUAAUCUUUCUGAGACACUAUCAACGUCUCAGCAAGAACUAUUAAGAGUCCAGGACAAGUUGAAAAAUACGGAGCAAACGUUGCAGACGUCCACAGUUGAGGCUGCUACAUUGAGAGCGGAAGUUGAAAAAUGGAAGGCUGAGGCGAACAAAACGUUCUUUAAACGUAUGUGCGGACCGUGCUUCGGUGGAGGAGCUACAAAGAGUCCAACCAGAAAACAAAAAAAUAGUACCACUGUCAAGAAAUAGGAGAGAAAACGGUAAAAUAAAGAAAUCGAUAAACACUGUAAAUCAUUCCACGCGCCAUCGAUCCCGGAGGUUGUUUCAAAAAACUGUCGUGCCCCCUGCCCCCCCCCCGCGUAUUUCCGCGAGAGGAUUUGGUUCAGAUUUGGACGAAUUUUCCAACCAGAUCGGUAGGGUUGCAACUAGAGUGCCAAAAUCGGGAGAGUACGCCAACACGGGCUAGCUAGUAAUUUUGAGGUUAGGUCAUGGAGUUUGUAGGGCCAAAAAGGCAGCCAACCAGUGAAUUCAAAUUAUCCAGAGUGUUUGAUCAUUGCGGUUGAUACGACCCGUCGUUUAUAAAGCACGUAUUUGACUAAGUUUUUUCAUAAAUUCACACUGAAAAAAAAAAAAAAAAAAAAAAAAAAAAAACUCCGGCCGUGGGAGCAGAACUCACGGGCUACAUGGACAUACCGUCCGCGUUCCGGGCGUAGCACAUGGAGCAAUCGAAACUACGGCUCCAGCACCCGGAACUUUCGGCCUGUGUGCCCGGAACGGACGGUACGUCUAUGUAGCCCGUACCUUUUUUUCAGAGCACUCAUUUUGCGAGAGAACGCCCUUGAAAGCACAUUCCUGGCCAUUCUGGUUUGAUAUUUGAAUCUAAAGAUUGGCGAUGACAUUUUUGCGUUCGAAGGUUGGCUGCCCUCUUAACAUUGGCGGAUCCAUCAAUUUGGCAACACCGGAUUUCCUCCAUUUAAACCUAUGAAAAUGUAUCGAUUUUUGGAGGGGCCAGGUGCUCCGACAAGAAUCGAUUAUUUAGCACAGGUUUAAAUAGAGGAAAUUCAGUGUUGCCAAAUUGCUGGAUUCCCUUCUGCCUCUAAGCGCUAAGAGCUCCAUAUUUCGACGUGUCCUUACUCUCUAUUAUAUGACCUUGUCCCAGGGAAAAAUCUCACUCGCUAAGUUGGGAAAAAUAUUGAGUCUGUCGAUACAAAUGACAGUCCCAAGCAGAGUCCUUGGAGUUUUAAGAGAGACUCGGAGAGAAGGAGGAGAAAUUUUGUUGUUUUGUUGAACGGGGAAAUAGCCCAGAAGUUGCAUUCCUGCGAUUGAGAUGGUGAUAGAUGCUCCGCAGCCCGUGACAAGAUAUACAUUCCAAAAAAAAAUAGAGCGGGCAACAAGGCUAAAAGUUCACACACAAGACAAAAGCGUUUCGGCUGAAAGUUCAGCCAUCCUCAGUUGGAUAAAUAAAAAUAAAAAUUGUUAAAAAACGAAAAUAGCACCUGACUGCAUAGAGAAAAUACAGAAGGUGGUGGCAAGCGGAGAGAUGUACUUUUCUACGUCACAGCUAAAAAUGAAGCCGCCCUUCUGGUUGGUCAAUAGGAUCGCGGGAAAACCGAGACCUCUUUGAAAUAUUUAAAGGAGCGGAAAAGGUUGUGAGGUUCCCACUUAUUUUUGCUCUAAAAUCUCUUGACUAUGACUUUUUAUGUUUCAAUAUGUUUCUCUAUCAAUGUUCGACUGUAACUGAAAAUAAUUUGUAAGUUAAAAAUAUAUAUCCAUUUCAUAUAAUAACAACUUUGAUCUCGACUCGUCCUGUUUUGAAGGUUUAACCAUGUUGCGUCAAAAAAGCAGAAAUUGGAGAGUCAUGGUUACUAAUGUUCAAUUAUAUGACUUUCAAUGUUAGUUUGAGUGGUGAUGUAGGUCUUCAUACAGGUUCCAUCAUGAAAUGUACUUUUUUUUGAACAGCGCGCCAGUCCGCGUACUUUUCUACGUCACAGCAAAUCUUCAAGAUGGCUGCCUUGCCACCACCUUCUGUAUUUUCUCUAUGACCUGACUGUACCUUUCAAAUAGAGAAUGUUUAUAUGACCUACAUGACAACAACAGGUUGUCCCAGGGAAAUAUAGAGAAUGUUGAUAUGACCUACAUAACAACAACAGGUCAUAACAACAUUCUCUAUUUGAAAGGUACUAUUUUAGUUUUUUAACCAUUUUUAUUUUUGACCAUCCAACUGAGGAUGGCUGAAUUUUCAGCCGAAACGUUUUGGUCUUGUGUGUAAACUUCUAGCCUUGUUACCCGCUCUAUUUGAAAUAGUAAUUUUUUGUAUUCCUGCGAUUCGAACUUGGGAUAAACCCCAUGAAAUGGCCAUUUCAUGGGGGAAAGGCAUUUCGGUGCUCUAGUUGCAACGCAAAGGAGGAGAACUCUGUGCUAAAGUCAAGAACGGAACUCACAAUCAGGCCCAUGAUACAUUUUGGCCGACGCACGGUGGAUCGAGUCGAUCAGAGAGGCUGGACAUGAAAUUAUUGACUAAAACCGCAAGUUUCGAUGUUUAAAACGUCAAAUGUUAAAUUUUGAGGGGGGCUUGCAAAUGAAAAUUUCACAAAAAAACCAAUGGAACCACAUUUAAAUACCUCAAAGUUUUGUAUGAACUGAGUUGUGAGCUUUUAAAGUUUCCACAUUUUGUCCGGCCUCUCCUAUUGACUCGAUCCACUGUGCGACCAGUGGCGUGGCGUGAAUUGCGAUAUAUCGAUUGUUAUGCCAUUUAAACCUAUGAAAAAAGAUCGAUUAUCAGGGUGUUCGCAGCGAACACCUUAGUAAUCGAUUCUUUACCAUAGCUUCAAAUGGCGAGAUAUCGUUAAUCGAUUAUUCACGCCACGCCACUGUGUGCGACGCUUGCAUCCGCCCACUCUUCGACCCACCUCGGGUGGUGAGAUUUUAGAUGUGGCCGUCAUUGCUGCCAGCAUAAAAACCGAAUGUUGGAGGCGCAACGCACUGUCGUCCGGAGAGAAUUUUUGUUUUGUUGUGAAGAAGGUUGGCAGCAGUGUUCGAAACUCACCUUUGAGUUUAAGGAGCCAUGUGGCGCAUCAAGCCCGAUUUUAAGGCGCCAUUGAAGGUUUUGUAGGGGCCAAAUUGACUUUUAGCCCAUGUAUUACGGCGUAUUUAGUGAAAAGUUAGAUGUAAAAUGUUUCCGUAACAGAACUAGUUAAGUAGCUGUAACUUGGGAAGACAAAAGCACUAAGAAUGAAAUCGUGAAGAAUAGAAAGAGCAAGCUUUCACUUGUAGUGCUGAAAAUUCUGAGUUUUUUUCAAUUCAAAAAGAUUUGGUUUUCAUUCUUUAUGUGACUUUCUGUGAAAAUCCAGAUUUUGAGGGGGCGAUUUUGAGGGGCCACUUUGGCGCAGAGCCUUAUUCAUUUUUUAGGCGCAUUUGGCGCGUUGGCGCCUGUGAGUUUCGAACAAUGGUUGGCAGUAAGUUAAAAACUUCAACCAAAUCCAGGCGGAAAUUCGACUUGGAUUUUAGACGAAACUUUGUUCAGGUGUUGUACUAAACGUUUCCUAUACGCCUGGGCAAGAUUGAAGUCCUUACAUAGGGAGAGUUGGGACACGUCGAAUCACGAAUGUAACAAGCGGGAAUAAAGAUUACACAGUUUGAACGUUUUUUCGUAAUCUUUGAUCGAUUCAUACCUGAAUUUCUACCCUACGCUCCUUCUCUCAUUCUGUUUGUUCCCCGACGUGCUCUCAAUUUCCCAGUCAAUUCCAGUUCAUAAACUUCGCAAUCGGUAAAAAGUAAUCUUUGUUCCCGUUUGAUGUACUGUGCAGGCCUAAAAUACUAGAGCCAAUCGGAAAUCGAUUUCUUACGUCUUAACCCUCAAUAUGAAGGGAUUGUAGGCAACCCUCUCGUAAUAUUAAGAGGAGGGGGGGGGAAGUUCUCAUUUUUGCAAAACUUAACAAAUCUAUAUCUCAGUAAGGGUUGCGGGAGGGGAUUGCAAUUUACUUUAGAAAACAUCGAAAAACAUUUUAACGAAAAAAAAAGAAAAAAAUCCAGGCGAGCAAAGUUUACGGAUGCACGAUGUACAUACAACUUUUGAAAUUUUUCACUGCCAAGAUUUCUCUAUCUUCGGAAUUAGCUAAUUUUAAAUGGCAACCUCAUAUUAGGCUUAAUUAAACUGACGCACAGUGGAAAGAGUCAAUAGAAGAGUUCGACAUGCAUUUCUGGACUAAAACUGAAAACUUUAAUGUUUAUUUCGUAAAAUUUUGAAUUUUAAGAGGCGUUUCCAGUAGGAAAUUUCACGAAAAAACAAUGGCACCACUUUUAAAACAUCAACAAUUCGUGUUGAAGAAGACAUACGCUUUUCAAGCUUUUAAAUGGACUACGUUUCGCAAUUCCGACUUCUAGACUUUUAGAAACAAUUUAUGUAACAUUAGUUUCCCUAUGCACAUAAGUGUUUUUACAGAUGCUCCAGAAAUUAUACUUCCGAAUUGCAGAAUGUGGUCCAUAUCAUUUCCGACGUCUCUCGUUGACUCGAUCCACGUUGAUUGUGUUCAUUCAUCAUGAUAUUCCACUCUAACAGUUAGAAGACUCUGUCAGUUGAUACACAGGGUGAGCCAGAGGUGUCACACCACCCUUUUAACCAUUAGGCUUCUUGCUCCUUUUUAGGGUUGUUCCUUGAACGUUUUAGGCGUUCCCAGAAUUCUUUCCCUUUAACCCAAGAGCACUCACUAAUUUUUUUUUUUUUUUUUUUUAAAGAUUUAUUUUAUUGUAAGCUUCCAAUACAGGAAAUAUUUACAAUUAGCUAGAAUUGUAAGUAAUGCAUGUAGAAGUAACAACAGUAUAAUUACUUAAUAUCAUAAGAGUUGAGAAAGAAAGUGGUAAAAUAAUUGACAAGCUACAGUCAGUCGAUUAUACAAUUUUAAAUAUUUAUAGUUUAGGACUCGGAAUCAGUAAAGACAUUCAUAAAGAUUCAAUGGAUUAAUGAGUGAGUUUCAGAUGAGAUGAGUUGACGUAAAUGAUUUGAUCCUAGAAUAGUUCACUAAAUUAGAGUAAUUUAUCUCAAUCUGUUCAAAAGUAACAAGGGUG
rnacentral:lncRNA from 1 species